GUGCCUUAAACUAAUGAGUAAGGAAAAUAACGAGCCGCGGUAACGCGUGGCUCAACUACCAUUUAAAAUUCUUGGUAAGAAUUUUUGAUAGGGUAAAGGUCGUCCCUGAGGUGACCUGCCUACUUUCGCAGGAUGCCCGGGUUGCUGUGAUCUGCCCU